AUUGAACGCUGGCGGUAUGCUUAACACAUGCAAGUCGAACGGAAACGAUACUAGCUUGCUAGUAGGCGUCGAGUGGCGGACGGGUGAGUAACGCGUAGGAAUCUGCCUGAUAGUGGGGGAUAGCCCGGAGAAAUUCGGAUUAAUACCGCAUAAUCUAUUCGUAGUAAAGUGGGGGACUUUCGAGCCUCACGCUAUCAGAUGAGCCUGCGUAAGAUUAGCUUGUUGGUAGGGUAAAAGCCUACCAAGGCGACGAUCUUUAGCUGGUCUGAGAGGAUGAUCAGCCACAUCGGGACUGAGACACGGCCCGAACUCCUACGGGAGGCAGCAGUGGGGAAUAUUGGACAAUGGGGGCAACCCUGAUCCAGCAAUACCGCGUGUGUGAAGAAGGCCUGAGGGUUGUAAAGCACUUUCAAUUGUGAAGAAAAGUUAACGGUUAAUAACCGUUAGCCUUGACGUUAACUUUAGAAGAAGCACCGGCUAACUCCGUGCCAGCAGCCGCGGUAAUACGGAGGGUGCAAGCGUUAAUCGGAAUUACUGGGCGUAAAGCGUGCGUAGGUGGUUUAUUAAGUCAGAUGUGAAAGCCCCGGGCUUAACCUGGGAACUGCAUUUGAAACUGGUAAACUAGAGUAUGGUAGAGGAAAGUGGAAUUUCUGGUGUAGCGGUGAAAUGCGUAGAUAUCAGAAGGAACAUCAAUGGCGAAGGCAGCUUUCUGGACCAAUACUGGCACUGAGGUACGAAAGCGUGGGUAGCAAACAGGAUUAGAUACCCUGGUAGUCCACGCCGUAAACGAUGAUAACUAGCCGUUGGGGGGAUUUACCCUUUAGUGGCGAAGCUAACGCGUUAAGUUAUCCGCCUGGGGAGUACGGCCGCAAGGUUA
rnacentral:rRNA from 1 species